GCGGACGGGUGAGUAACACGUGGGUAACCUGCCUGUAAGACUGGGAUAACUCCGGGAAACCGGGGCUAAUACCGGAUGCUUGAUUGAACCGCAUGGUUCAAUCAUAAAAGGGGGCUUUUAGCUACCACUUACAGAUGGACCCGCGGCGCAUUAGCUAGUUGGUGAGGUAACGGCUCACCAAGGCGACGAUGCGUAGCCGACCUGAGAGGGUGAUCGGCCACACUGGGACUGAGACACGGCCCAGACUCCUACGGGAGGCAGCAGUAGGGAAUCUUCCGCAAUGGACGAAAGUCUGACGGAGCAACGCCGCGUGAGUGAUGAAGGUUUUCGGAUCGUAAAACUCUGUUGUUAGGGAAGAACAAGUACCGUUCGAAUAGGGCGGUACCUUGACGGUACCUAACCAGAAAGCCACGGCUAACUACGUGCCAGCAGCCGCGGUAAUACGUAGGUGGCAAGCGUUGUCCGGAAUUAUUGGGCGUAAAGCGCGCGCAGGCGGUUUCUUAAGUCUGAUGUGAAAGCCCCCGGCUCAACCGGGGAGGGUCAUUGGAAACUGGGGAACUUGAGUGCAGAAGAGGAGAGUGGAAUUCCACGUGUAGCGGUGAAAUGCGUAGAGAUGUGGAGGAACACCAGUGGCGAAGGCGACUCUCUGGUCUGUAACUGACGCUGAGGCGCGAAAGCGUGGGGAGCGAACAGGAUUAGAUACCCUGGUAGUCCACGCCGUAAACGAUGAGUGCUAAGUGUUAGAGGGUUUCCGCCCUUUAGUGCUGCAGCAAACGCAUUAAGCACUCCGCCUGGGGAGUACGGGUCGCAAGACUGAAACUCAAAGGAAUUGACGGGGGG
rnacentral:rRNA from 1 species